rnacentral:rRNA from 1 species
GACGAACGCUGGCGGCGUGCCUAACACAUGCAAGUCGAACGGAACUUUUUAAAGGAUUUCUUCGGAAUGAAUUUGAUUAAGUUUAGUGGCGGACGGGUGAGUAACGCGUGAGUAACCUGCCUCUAAGAGGGGAAUAACAUUCUGAAAAGAAUGCUAAUACCGCAUAAUAUAUAUUUAUCGCAUGGUAGAUAUAUCAAAGAUUUAUCGCUUAGAGAUGGACUCGCGUCCGAUUAGUUAGUUGGUGAGGUAACGGCUCACCAAGACCGCGAUCGGUAGCCGGACUGAGAGGUUGACCGGCCACAUUGGGACUGAGAUACGGCCCAGA